rnacentral:rRNA from 1 species
GAUGAACGCUGGCGGCGUGCCUAAUACAUGCAAGUCGAGCGAACGGACGAGAAGCUUGCUUCUCUGAUGUUAGCGGCGGACGGGUGAGUAACACGUGGAUAACCUACCUAUAAGACUGGGAUAACUUCGGGAAACCGGAGCUAAUACCGGAUAAUAUUUUGAACCGCAUGGUUCAAAAGUGAAAGACGGUCUUGCUGUCACUUAUAGAUGGAUCCGCGCUGCAUUAGCUAGUUGGUAAGGUAACGGCUUACCAAGGCAACGAUGCAUAGCCGACCUGAGAGGGUGAUCGGCCACACUGGAACUGAGACACGGUCCAGACUCCUACGGGAGGCAGCAGUAGGGAAUCUUCCGCAAUGGGCGAAAGCCUGACGGAGCAACGCCGCGUGAGUGAUGAAGGUCUUCGGAUCGUAAAACUCUGUUAUUAGGGAAGAACAUAUGUGUAAGUAACUGUGCACAUCUUGACGGUACCUAAUCAGAAAGCCACGGCUAACUA